rnacentral:misc_RNA from 1 species
GGAAGGAUCAUUACUGAACUGUCAACAUGAGUUGUUGCUGGUCUUCAAUUGGGGACAUGUGCACGCUCUGUUACACAUCCACUCACACCUGUGCACCCUCUGUAGCUCUGUGGUGUGGAGGACACCGUCUUCCCACUGUGGUUCUACAUCUUUACACACACACGCACUGCGAUAAAGUAUUAUGGAAUGUAUAUGGCAUUUAAUGCAAUACAAUACAACUUUCAGCAACGGAUCUCUUGGCUCUCGCAUCGAUGAAGAACGCAGCGAAAUGCGAUAAGUAAUGUGAAUUGCAGAAUUCAGUGAAUCAUCGAAUCUUUGAACGCACCUUGCGCCCUUUGGCCAUUCCGAAGGGCAUGCCUGUUUGAGUAUCAUGAACACCUCAACUAUCAUGGUUUGCCGUGAUGAGCUUGGACUUUGGGGGUUUUGCUGGAUCAUAGUCGGCUCCCCUUAAAUGGAUCAGCUUGCCAGUGUUUGGUGGCAUCACAGGUGUGAUAACCUUUUACGCUUGUGGUCUUACAUCAGGUAACCUUCAGUAAAUGGGAGGUUCACUGGAGCUCAUAAAGGUUACUCCCCAGUGAGGGGAUGGCUCUUUGAAUGUUUGAUCUCAAAUCAGGUAGGACUACCCGCUGAACUUAAGCAUAUCAAUAAGCGGAGGAAAAGAAACUAACAAGGAUUCCCCUAGUAACUGCGAGUGAAGCGGGAAGAGCUCAAAUUUAAAAUCUGGUGUACCUCUGGUCACCCGAGUUGUAGUCUGGAGAAGCGUUUUCCGUGUUGGACCGUGUAUAAGUCUCUUGGAACAGGGCGUCAUAGAGGGUGAGAAUCCCGUCUUUGACACGGACUACCAAUGCUUUGUGAUGCGCUCUCAAAGAGUCGAGUUGUUUGGGAAUGCAGCUCAAAAUGGGUGGUAAAUUCCAUCUAAAGCUAAAUAUAGGCGAGAGACCGAUAGCGAACAAGUACCGUGAGGGAAAGAUGAAAAGCACUUUGGAAAGAGAGUUAAACAGUACGUGAAAUUGCUGAAAGGGAAACACUUGAAGUCAGUCACAUCUGCCAGGACUCAGCCUUGCUCUUCUGCUUGGUGUACUUUCUGGUUUGAUGGGCCAACAUCAAUUUUGACCAUUGGAGAAAGGCUUUGGGAAUGUGGCACCUUUGGGUGUGUUAUAGCCCUUUGUCGUAUACGGUGGUUGGGAUUGAGGACUGCAGCACGCCUUCGUGGCUGGGGUUCGCCCACAUACGUGCUUAGGAUGUUGGCAUAAUGGCUUUAAGUGACCCGUCUUGAAACACGGACCAAGGAGUCUAACAUGCCUGCGAGUGUUUGGGUGCAAAACCCAUGCGCGUAAUGAAAGUGACAGCUGAGAUCCUCUCAUCAGGAGCAUCAGCGCCUGGACUUGAUCUACGGAGACGGUUCUACGGUAGAGCAUGUAUGUUGGGACCCGAAAGAUGGUGAACUAUGCCUGAAUAGGGUGAAGCCAGAGGAAACUCUGGUGGAGGCUCGUAGCGAUUCUGACGUGCAAAUCGAUCGUCAAAUUUGGGUAUAGGGGCGAAAGACUAAUCGAACCAUCUAGUAGCUGGUUCCUGC